rnacentral:tRNA from 1 species
CGGAGCGUCGCAUAGCCCGGUUAGUGCGCCUGCUUUGGGAGCAGGAGGUCGUGAGUUCAAAUCUCACCGCUCCGACCA